GCUGAGAAUAAAAUUCAAGGUGUAACCUGCCCAGUGGUUAAUAAUUAGUUUAAAGAACUUAAAAUUUAAUUAAACGGAUGCGGUAUUCUAACUGUAAUAAAGUAGCAUAAUCACUCGCCACCUAAUUAGUGGAUAGUAUGAAUGGUUGAACGAAUAUCUAACUGUCUUAUAUAGAAGACUUACGAAACUAAAAUAAUAGUUAAGAUGCUAUUUAAAACUGUAAGACGAAAAGACCCUAUAGAGCUUAACUAUUUCUUUUUCUAAAAAAUAAUCAUAUAAAGUUAUUAUGAAAAAGUUAGGUAGUUUAGUUGGGGCGACUGCCUUUUAUUAGUAUCAAAGGUAAACAAUGUAAUUUAAAUAUUUAUUGUAUAAUUCAUAUAUUUAACAAUUAUUAAAAUAGGUAAUAAUGACCCGUUAGAAUUAAACAAUACAACUAACGAUUAAUAAAUAAAAGCUACCUUAGGGAUAACAGGAUAAUUUUAAUUUAGAGACCAUAUCAAGGUUAAAGUUUGUCACCUCUAUGUUGAAUUAAGGUAUCCUUAUGAAGCAGAAUUUAUAAAGGGUAGGUCUGUUCGACCUUUAAAACCUU
rnacentral:rRNA from 1 species